rnacentral:misc_RNA from 1 species
GGAUGAAGAACGUAGCGAAAUGCGAUAAGUAAUGUGAAUUGCAGAAUUCAGUGAAUCAUCGAAUCUUUGAACGCACAUUGCGCCCGCUAGUACUCUAGCGGGCAUGCCUGUUCGAGCGUCAUUUCAACCCUCAAGCCCCCGGGCUUGGCGUUGGGGACCGGCAGCCCGCCUCAGGCGGCAGCCGCCCCCGAAAAUCAGUGGCGGUCUCGCUGUAGCUUCCCCUGCGUAGUAGCACACCUCGCACCGGAUCGCGGCGCGGCCAUGCCGUAAAACACCCACUUCUGAAGGUUGACCUCGGAUCAGGUAGGAAUACCCGCUGAACUUAAGCAUAUCAAUAAGCGGAGGA